rnacentral:lncRNA from 1 species
UUCCCGUCCAGCAUCAUGAAAGCUACAGUUUGUUGCUAUUUAUGGCUGGAAGACCGUGCCACUUGCCCGUCUAGUGUCAUUAAAGCUGCAGUACUGGCCUAGGAGUCUGUGCCACGGCCCAAAAUCUUGGUUCUCUCAUUGGUUUCUGAGAUUGGGCAAGCAGAUCAUCGUGAUGCCUAUGUUGUAGCCAUGAAAUCGGGCAAUGAUGACCUGAUUCUGGG